GGUAAGGGAUGUUAUUUUCUUCUCAAAUGAUAUUAUUUCUUCAAUAUCAUUAUGCUGAAAUAUUGGUUGAAACUUUUUAUCAAAUUUGGAACUUUUUCAUGUCGGGGUUACUAUUCAUGAGUUACUAUUCACGAGUUACUAUUCACGAAGCAUGAUGAUGUUUUUUUGUGAAAUUUCUAUCUUUUGGUGUCGGAGUUACUAUUCACGUAUACGGCACUAUUCACG
rnacentral:lncRNA from 1 species